rnacentral:rRNA from 1 species
GAUGAACGCUGGCGGCGUGCCUAAUACAUGCAAGUCGAGCGAACAGACGAGGAGCUUGCUCCUCUGACGUUAGCGGCGGACGGGUGAGUAACACGUGGAUAACCUACCUAUAAGACUGGGAUAACUUCGGGAAACCGGAGCUAAUACCGGAUAAUAUAUUGAACCGUAAGGUUCAAGAGUGAAAGACGGUUUUGCUGUCACUAAUAGAUGGAUCCGCGCCGCAUUAGCUAGUUGGUAAGGUAACGGCUUACCAAGGCAACGAUGCGUAGCCGACCUGAGAGGGUGAUCGGCCACACUGGAACUGAGCAACGGCCCAGACUCCUACGGGAGGCAGCAGUAGGGAAUCUUCCGCAAUGGGCGAAAGCCUGACGGAGCAACGCCGCGUGAGUGAUGAAGGUCUUCGGAUCGUAAACCUCUGUUAUUAGGGAAGAACAAAUGUGUAAGUAACUAUGCACGUCUUGACGGUACCUAAUCAGAAAGCCACGGCUAACUACGUG